UAAAAAAGAAAAUGAGAGAGAAAGAAAGAACACAUAAGAAAACAAGAACAAAACAAAAGGGCCAUUGAUUUUUUCCACCCUUCCCAAAAGUUUGUGUUUUUUUUUCUUA
rnacentral:ribozyme from 13 species